CCCACGGGUGGCUGCAGUGGGGAAUAUUGGACAAUGGGCGAAAGCCUGAUCCAGCCAUGCCGCGUGUGUGAAGAAGGCCUUCGGGUUGUAAAGCACUUUCAGUGGGGAAGAAAGCCUUGGGGCUAAUACCCUCGAGGAAGGACAUCACCCACAGAAGAAGCACCGGCUAACUCCGUGCCAGCAGCCGCGGUAAUACGGAGGGUGCGAGCGUUAAUCGGAAUUACUGGGCGUAAAGCGCGCGUAGGCGGUCUGAUAAGCCGGUUGUGAAAGCCCCGGGCUCAACCUGGGAACGGCAUCCGGAACUGUCAGGCUAGAGUGCAGGAGAGGAAGGUAGAAUUCCCGGUGUAGCGGUGAAAUGCGUAGAGAUCGGGAGGAAUACCAGUGGCGAAGGCGGCCUUCUGGACUGACACUGACGCUGAGGUGCGAAAGCGUGGGUAGCAAACAGGAUUAGAUACCCCUGUAGUC
rnacentral:rRNA from 1 species